AGUUGAAGACAUUUAAACAAUCUAGCUAAUAGCUCAACUAUUAGCUAUUUUUAGCAAAUUAGCUAAUAGUUAGCUAGAUGUUUGUUAUCUAGUUAAUUGUACUAGCAAUUUUUGUAGGCAAUAAAUAUUAGCUACAGUGCAUUCAAACACCCUCUUAGCAUGAUUGACUUAUUAUCUGUUAAUACUUGCAGAUGUUUACCUUUUUUUUCUUUUCUUUUAAUUGGUAUGGUUGUUUAGACUUUGGAGACUACUUCGUAAUUCUCUGAACACGACUCUUUUUGCCCCCCUUUUUGACAUGAGGCACGUUUACGCAGUGGUUUGCAGGUGCCAGCCUCAUCAUUCUUGGCGUCUUCAUCCUCAGCAAGUCCAGCAUCGAGGAGAAACAGAACACGGAUUAGGUGGAAAAGUUUUGACCGCUAGUGUUAGCUGUAACAUAUACGUACUCCGCAUAAGCUGAGCCAUGGGAUGUUUUGUCCGUCCAUGUAGCCGAAUCAGAGCAUGACUGUCAUUCGGCUAAUACAAUGUAGUGUAGCAAACAUGUUGUGCGAGUUGUCACGCCAGGACAUUUGACAUUUCCCAUGGUGCUACUGGUACAUCGAGAAUCAUCGCUGUAAUUGUAUGUAUGUGGUGAAUUGAUUUCAUUUAUUUUAUUAUAUUUUUAUUCAAGCUGUGGCAAUAUC
rnacentral:lncRNA from 1 species